UACGUAGGGGGCAAGCGUUGUCCGGAAUCACUGGGCGUAAAGGGUGCGUAGGCGGGUUCUUAAGUCAGAGGUGAAAUCCUGGAGCUCAACUCCAGAACUGCCUUUGAUACUGAGAGUCUUGAGUUCGGGAGAGGUGAGUGGAACUGCGAGUGUAGAGGUGAAAUUCGUAGAUAUUCGCAAGAACACCAGUGGCGAAGGCGGCUCACUGGUCCGGUUCUGACGCUGAGGCGCGAAAGCGUGGGGAGCAAACAGG
rnacentral:rRNA from 1 species